rnacentral:lncRNA from 1 species
GUGUUGUUGUUUGCUGUGUCACUGAGACUUAUUGUUUAUUUGUCUUUUUAAUAUGUUUCUUGUACUGUUGAGAGUACAUAAAUUAUAUUAAAGUUGUUGAGAGUAUCUUUUGUUUCUGGAUAUUUUUUUCUUCAGUAUAGUUGUGUAAGUUGUGUGUAUUAAGAAAUAAUUUUUAUUAUCCUUACUAUGUUUGUUAUAUGUUUUUAUUUUAUUUUUAAACUUGUUGCUCUUACCUAAUCUUUAAAACAAAUACAUGAAGACUUGUAGAAAUAACUAUAAAAUGGUGACAAUUCUGAGUAUUUGGGAUUUAAUGAGUUUUAAACGAAUAUGUAUUUUUCAUAAGAAGACAAGAGCAUUGUCCUGUUGACAUUGGACAUAUAAGCUAUUUAUAUAAGACAAGAGGAGUAGGCAUGUGGAGCUGUUGUUGCCGCCUUUGUGUCUGUCGGGAUUGUCUCUUGUAUCUUAAGUUGUGGCUGUGUUUGUUUAUCUUUUAUUUGAUGGAUAAUAUGUAAACAAAAAUCAUUGUUAGUUGUAUUUAUCAGAGUUCAUAAUUUACUCUGUUUUUUUUUGUUUAGGUAAUUUCACUGAUCUUGGUUAUCUUCUUCGUCUUCUUCGUUGCAAAAGUAAGUUUGUAAAUUGUUAAAUAGCUGGCCGUGUAGUUUGUAUUUGUUUAGCUGACUCGAUGUAUGUGUUGUUGCGAAAGUAAGUAUGUAAAUUGUUAAAUAGUUGGCCGUGUAGUUUGUAUUUGUUUAGCUGACUCGAUGUAUGUGUCGUUGAGUUUUAGUUGAGGUGAUUGUUUGGUAUAUUUGUUUUGAAGUUUAUUUCUAAGAUUGGACAAAAAAGAGAAGUGAUCAUUAAUUAUUCGUCUUUUUUAAAAUUCUA